GAUGAACGCUAGCGGCAGGCUUAACACAUGCAAGUCGAGGGGCAACACGGGUAGCAAUACCUGGUGGCGACCGGCGCAAGGGUGCGUAACGCGUGAGCAACAUGCCCUAUACAGGGGGAUAAUCCAGGGAAACUUGGUCUAAUAUCCCAUAGUAUUUAGAGGUGGCAUCACCACUAAAUUAAAGCUUCGGUGGUAUAGGAUUGGCUCGCGUGACAUUAGCUGGAUGGUGGGGUAACGGCUCACCAUGGCGAUGAUGUCUAGGGGUUCUGAGAGGAAGACCCCCCACACUGGGACUGAGACACGGCCCAGACUCCUACGGGAGGCAGCAGUGAGGAAUAUUGGACAAUGGAUGGAAAUCUGAUCCAGCCAUGCCGCGUGCAGGAAGACGGCCCUAUGGGUUUAAACUGCUUUUAAUGGGAGCAAUAAGGUUUACGCGUAGACCGAUGAGAGUACCAUAUGAAUAAGCAUCGGCUAACUCCGUG
rnacentral:rRNA from 1 species